rnacentral:rRNA from 1 species
AGCAGCCGCGGUAAUUCCAGCUCCAAUAGCGUAUAUUAAAGUUGUUGCAGUUAAAAAGCUCGUAGUUGAAUUUCGGGGUUAGUAAGUUGGUCAUGCCUUCGGUAUGUACUGGCUUUACUGAUUCCUCCUUCUUGACGAACCGUGAUGUCAUUAAUUUGGUGUUGCGGGAAAUCAGGACUGUUACUUUGAAAAAAUUAGAGUGUUUAAAGCAGGCUAACGCUUGAAUACAUUAGCAUGGAAUAACGAAAUAGGACGUUAAUCCUAUUUUGUUGGUUUCUAGGAUCGACGUAAUGAUUAAUAGGGAUAGUUGGGGGCAUUAGUAUUCAAUUGUCAGAGGUGAAAUUCUUGGGUUUAUUGAAGACUAACUACUGCGAAAGCAUUUGCCAAGGAUGUUUCAUUAAUCAAGAACGAAGUUAGGGAUCGAAGACGAUCAGAUACCGUCGUAGUCUUAACCAUAAACUAUGCCGACUAGGGAUCGGAUGAUGUUAAUUCUUUAAUGACUCAUUCGGCGUCCUUACGG